AUUCACGAUAUAAUAAAAGGGAUGAAAAAACGACCGGCGAGGACGAGUAUGACCUGCUUUUGUAUUCCUUCAAAAAGCAAUCGAAUUAUGACUAAAUUUUAUGGACCGGUUUGUGCAUGUUUUUUUUAGCGAAGGUGUUAUAAUUUUGGUUGUUUGAUUUGGUUGCCAAGCAUCAUUCAGCUAAGCCAGCAAGCUAGAUAAUAAUUAAUAGUUGCAGUUCGGAAAUCUAAAGACAACGCACAUGACAACAAAAAGAAAUGUUAUAACAUUUUCAAAAUACCAGUGAAAAGGUCACAUAAAGGGAACAACCGGAAGAUUUCACCGGAAUAGGAUGGAUUUUAAUUGGUAGAGGACCGACUGGGGAAACCCUCCUAUUUGGUAUUCCAAGCGCAUAAAAGACAAAAUUCACCUUUACUGCGGGACAUGUCCGGAUUUUGCUGUCGUAAUCGCCCUGGUACAUCCUCCGUAAUCUACAAAAUGCCUUCCCAGAGCCACCUAAAGCAAAAGCAUUGUUUCGAGAUUUUCGGAACGUUCCAUGGAAAGCUUUUGCUGCAAAAUACUGUACAAUAUACCGGAGGAUAGAUUAAGAUAAUAUAGGGCCAUGAAAUGUAAC